GCGCGUGCAUUGGAGCUAGCCUUUAGCUCCCAUUCACACACAGCCAAGUAGCACUCUCUUUUCAAGCCUACAGUAAGAAAGACAAUUCACUCACCACACGCAGCCGUACGCCCCGGUUCCGAUCUGCUUGAGGCGGGUGUACUUCUCCGGAACCUCCCACACCGUGCUGUUGAUUUCUUCGCGGGAGAAACUCGCCCGAGCCUCCAUGGCGAAGCAGAGGAGAAGGCGAAGGGUUGGAGGAAUAACUUCUCCUCCCUCCUGGUGAACGAACAACUGACAGUCUCGCUUGAAAAGGGCUCCUCUGAGCGAUGUUAGAAGCUGUUUUAUUGGUCAGUCUUAAAUACUGGACUGACAACGUCCGCCCUCAGUUGCAAGGCUGAGCUGAAAAAUCUUUCAACAUGGCGGUGCUACACAGAGUGGAAAGAGCAACUUUAAAAUGCUCUGCUUCACUUGCCUCCCCUGACUGCACGUCACUGCACCCGAGCUGGAAGCGUUCAUAAAUUGUCAUGACUGUAUAUGCUGACGACCUCCUUUUGUACAUCUUCGAAAUCUUCGACAACUUUGGGUCUUACUUGUGUUACAAACUCCACAGAAGCGAACUCCUCCCCCUCAAUUCUUCAGCCAAAAAUAUAUCCCAGUCCUUCUUCCCUUUCACAUAUGCUAUGGAUGGAUUUAAAGAUUUGGGAGUGUACAUUACGGAUUACAUAAACCGGCUUUUCUCCAAAAAUUCCUCUCCUCUCAUGGUAAAAUGCAAAAUGGGCUUUGAAAGGUUGUCUGGUCUCCCAAUGCAGUAUCUCUAGUUAGUCGAGUUAACUUGGUCAAGAUGGUCAUUUUAACCAAAUUUCUAUAUCUUUUUUCUCAUAUUCCGGUGGUUAUUAGGAAGUCUUCAUAACAGUGAUACAACCCCCCAAAAUCUCUA